rnacentral:rRNA from 1 species
UAGUUGGUGAGGUAAAAGCCCACCAAGGCAGAGAUCGGUAGCCGGCCUGAGAGGGCACACGGCCACACUGGCACUGAAACACGGGCCAGACUCCUACGGGAGGCAGCAGUGGGGAAUCUUGCACAAUGGGGGCAACCCUGAUGCAGCGACGCCGCGUGAGCGAUGAAGCCCUUCGGGGUGUAAAGCUCUUUCGUCAGGGAAGAUCAUGACGGUACCUGGAGAAGCAGCUGCGGCUAACUACGUGCCAGCAGCCGCGGUAAUACGCAGGCAGCAAGCGUUGUUCGGAGUUACUGGGCGUAAAGGGUGUGUAGGCGGUUCUUUAAGUUUGGUGUGAAAUCUCCCGGCUCAACCGGGAGGGUGCGCCGAAUACUGAGGGACUAGAGUGUGGGAGAGGAAAGUGGAAUUCCUGGUGUAGCGGUGAAAUGCGUAGAUAUCAGGAGGAACACCGGUGGUGUAGACGGCUUUCUGGACCAUAACUGACGCUGAGACACGAAAGCGUGGGUAGCAAACAGGAUUAGAUACCCUGGUAGUCCACGCCCUAAACGAUGCAUAUUUGGUGUGGGUCAUUCAGUUGAUCCGUGCCGGAGCUAACGCGUUAAAUAUGCCGCCUGGGGAGUACAGUCGCAAGGCUGAAACUCAAAGGAAUUGACG